AUAUUAAUAUCCAUUAAAUAUAUUUUUCUAUUUUUUACUUCAGUAGAACGUACCUUGUGUUACUGGGUCAUUGGGGCUGGCUCCACACGCAAUGAGUAUUCUUAAAUCAUCCUGCAAAACGAAGGAAACAACGGAACUUCCCCAUCAUAGCUCGAUUGGCGUUUCUCCGUCGUAGCAUCAUGGGAAGCGGUGCCCAGAGACAGCAGCACAUGAUACACACACCGCCGACGAUGUGAAAACAAACAGCAAAACUUCCCGUUAACACCUGAAUGUAGCCUGCAACCGAUUGGAUGAGUAAAGAAAUUUUGUUUAAACUAAAACGUUUUUAGGUUUGUAAAAGUAACGUACCGAUAAUGAUAAUUCCUGGAAAAACGAUUAAUCCACCGAUGAAAAGAUUGAGACCGAAAGCGGCUGCUAGUUUAUCCAUGCCAAGGGUUUGGACAAUCACCACCACUUGCAUACCAGUAAUUCCUCCAACCCCAAUGCCGUAGAUGAUGCAGCUAAUUACCAUGCCAACGAAAUCAGUGGAAAAUGCCAGAGCUAAAACGUACAACGACAGAUGGCAAAUUCGAUUAAAAAGACGGUGAGGGUCGUAAUGUAUUUGGAAAAUUUGCCAGCCAGGAUGGGAAUAGCGAGACGGGCAACAGUAUCUGACGCUGCAAGAAUGGUAACCAGUGAUGCAGCCGCUGUUGGGGGAACUCCCACACUUUGAGCAAAUGAUGGAACUAGGACAUUGAAUUGUUGGUUUAAAUCGAGAAUGCUGGAAGCUGGUGGACACCGUGGCAUGAACUGGAGCCAUUUUGGUCGUUUGUCAAUUUGUGUGCGAGUCUUCAACUGUUUUCUCAUCUGUCCCAGCGACAUAGUAACUGGCAUCUCAUGGGCUAU